rnacentral:piRNA from 1 species
UGGCAUGUGACUCCCUGCUGGAAACGUGC